AAAAGAAGACUUUCUGGAAAUCUAAAUUGUUCUUGAGAUUGAAGAAAAACCAAGGUAAAAGAUGAAAAGUCUACAUUUAACAUAAGACACAACUACUUUUUUCAUAAGAAAUGGCUACCAUUAACAUAAGAGAAAUCAAAGAAAAGUAGACUUUCUGGAAAUCUAAAUUGUUCUUGAGAUUGAAGCAACCCAAGGUAAAAGAGGCAAAGUCUACAUUUAACAUAAGACACCUCUACUAUUUUCAUAAGAAAUGUCUACCAUUAACAUAAGAGAAAUCAAAGAAAAGUAGACUUUCUGAAAAUCUAAAUUGUUCUUGAGAUUGAAGCAACCCAAGGUAAAAAACGCAAAGUCUACAUUUAACAUAAGACACAACUACAUUUUUCAUAAGAAAUGGCUACCAUUAACAUAAGAGAAAUCAAGGAAAAGUAGACUUUCUGGAAAUCUAAAUUGUUCUUGAGAUUCAAUCAAUGAAUAUUCACAAAAUGAAAAUUGACCGUCUGAUGUGAUCAUUAUAGUGAAACAUGGCUAUGGUAUAAAAUUCAACUGGAUUCAACAAUGUUCGGUGCUCGAUCAAAGCGGUCAACCUUAAUUCAUCUUCACUUAUCACACGAAAACUAUCUUACCUACCUCUUUGUGAUCUAGUUUGGUGGAUUCUUCAACACAAUAAAGUGCCACAUAGAUGAGACAUAACUACCCAUGUAAAACUUUGGGGACGUUUACCACCGGAGGAUAGGGCUCUCCUUAUUGAAGCAUAAGCGUAAAUAGGGUUGACAGCUUCGAUCGGGGCCCAAACAUUGGCGAAUUAAAGUGAUUUUCCUACCGUAGCCGUAUUUUACUAUACCGAUCACAUCCUAUUUCAUGAGAUUUUUGAAAAUUUUGCUUCCUCUAUAUAGUUGGCUCACAAAGUUGUACACUAGCAUAUAACCUACCAAACAAGUUAUACCACAUUAGUAGGCACGUUNNN
rnacentral:lncRNA from 1 species